AGUGAACGCUGGCGGUAGGCCUAACACAUGCAAGUCGAACGGCAGCACAGUAAGAGCUUGCUCUUACGGGUGGCGAGUGGCGGAUGGGUGCGGAAUACAUCGGAAUCUACUUUUUAGUGGGGGAUAACGUAGGGAAACUUACGCUAAUACCGCAUACGACGUACGGGUGAAAGCAGGGGAUCUUCGGACCUUGCGCGAUCGAAUGAGCCGAUGUCGGAUUAGCUAGUUGGCGGGGUAAAGGCCCACCAAGGCGACGAUCCGUAGCUGGUCUGAGAGGAUGAUCAGCCACACUGGAACUGAGACACGGUCCAGACUCCUACGGGAGGCAGCAGUGGGGAAUAUUGGACAAUGGGCGCAAGCCUGAUCCAGCCAUGCCGCGUGGGUGAAGAAGGCCUUCGGGUUGUAAAGCCCUUUUGUUGGGAAAGAAAAGCAGCAGGUUAAUACCCCGCUGUUCUGACGGUACCCAAAGAAUAAGCACCGGCUAACUUCGUG
rnacentral:rRNA from 1 species